AGUAAUGUUGGCCUCGACAUCACACAGGCCAGCUAACCGAGUUUUGCAUUUCCAUCAGGCAACAACAUCAAUACAACUACAAUUACAAAGUAAUGCAUCUAAAUAAUAUACUUCCAAUCCCUUGGUGACCCAGAUCCAUAAACAAAAUUGAAGGGUGGAUGCGAGGCUAAUAGUACUACUAGAUAACAACCCCUCCAAUAACCGAAGGAUACCCGAUAAAUUUCUGCUCGUUUAUCUUCCCCUUCUCUCUCCUUUCCCACAAACCGCGUCUCCGCUUCUCGAGCCCACCCACAAAUCUCCUUCAAGAGAGAGAGAGAGAGAGAGAGAGAGAGAGAGGAGGCACACCUGCCCGGAUCAUAACCAAGAUUCAAAUUUGCCCGCUCAUCAAUCAUGGUUCUUGAUUCAUUAUCAUCGCCUCACAGGAGGUCGCAAAACACAUUCUUUCUGCCAUCUCCUAAGAAGCCUCAAUCAUCUCGUGAUGAUGUUGGUAGUUGGUCUGCCCUGGUUGAGCGGCAUCGCUUUCUCUUGACAACGCUAGUGGUACUUGCCUUCCUGUGCACCAUAUAUCUUUACUUCGCGGUGACCUUGGGGGCACCACAAGCUUGCUCAGGGUUGACGGGCGAUGAAAUGACCGUAUGUCAGGAAAAAUCAGCCCUGCAACAUGGAAAGUUGAAAUAUCGCUAACUCCGCUUGACAGUUUGCAAUGUGCUUGUGGUCCAAAUUCGUAUAUUCUUUAGUGGUGGAUGCUGAAAGGGCUUGUAUUGAUGCUGAUGUACAUUUUAAUGGAGUGAGAGGGGAUUGUUUGUGCUUUGAAACCGUAUAACUGAAUAGGUCCCAUUUUAUUAUUGUCAUGGUGUACUAAAAAUAUCAUGGCACUAAUUCAUCCCGGAGAUUCUGAUGGUCUCACACACACAAACACGCGGGCGCGCGCACACACACACAUCUCUUUAUUUUGUGUGCUCUUUUAUUUUGUGUACUCCUGAGAGUAUGUACUCCUACCACAUAGAUGAUUUUUCUAUAUCUCUUUAUUACUUUUUAAUAUAGUACUUCAUUAACAAC
rnacentral:rRNA from 1 species